rnacentral:rRNA from 1 species
GAUGAACGCUAGCGGCAGGCUUAAUACAUGCAAGUCGAGGGGCAGCAUGGUGUAGCAAUACAUUGAUGGCGACCGGCAAACGGGUGCGGAACACGUACGCAACCUACCCAAAACUGAUGAAUAGCCCUCCGAAAGGAGGAUUAAUACAUCGUAACAUAAUGAGAUGGCAUCUUCUUAUUAUUAUAGCUCCGGCGGUUUUGGAUGGGCGUGCGCCUGAUUAGGUAGUUGGCGGGGUAACGGCCCACCAAGCCUACGAUCAGUAACUGGUGUGAGAGCACGACCAGUCACACGGGCACUGAGACACGGGCCCGACUCCUACGGGAGGCAGCAGUAAGGAAUAUUGGUCAAUGGACGCAAGUCUGAACCAGCCAUGCCGCGUGAAGGAUGAAGGUCCUCUGGAUUGUAAACUUCUUUUAUAUGGGACGAAACCUGGGAAUUCUUUUCCAAUUGACGGUACCAUAGGAAUAAGCACCGGCUAACUCCGUGCCAGCCGCCGCCGUAAGAC